rnacentral:tRNA from 1 species
UUUCCUUUAGCUCAGACUGUAAAGAAUCUGCCUGCAAUGCAGGAGACCUGGGUUUGAUCCCUGGGUGGAAAA